CCCUUAGAUGUUCUGGGCCGCACGCGCGCUACACUGAUGAACGCAACGAGACCACCUGUACCGAAAGGCAUGGGUAAACUUGUGAAAGUUCAUCGUGAUGGGGAUAGAUUAUUGCAAUUAUUAAUCUUCAACGAGGAAUUCCUAGUAAGCGCGAGUCAACAGCUCGCGUUGAUUACGUCCAUGCCCUUUGUACACACCGCCCGUCGCUCCUACCGAUUGAAUGGUCCGGUGAAAUCUUCGGAUUGCUGGAUAGGACUUCAUUGACCUAUCUGCGAGAAGUUGCUUGAACCUUAUCAUUUAGAGGAAGGAGAAGUCGUANCA
rnacentral:rRNA from 1 species